rnacentral:rRNA from 1 species
AUUGAACGCUGGCGGCGUGCCUAAUACAUGCAAGUCGAACGGUCUUUUCUAUGGAAGCUUGCUUCCACUGAGAAGAUAGUGGCGAACGGGUGAGUAACACGUGGGUAACCUGCCCAUAAGAGGGGGAUAACAUCCGGAAACGGUUGCUAAUACCGCAUAGUUUUCUUGAUCGCAUGAUCGAGAAAGGAAAGACGGCCUUUGUGCUGUCGCUUAGGGUUGGCCCCGCGGCGUAUUAGUUAGUUGGUGAGGUAACGGCUCACCAAGACGAUGAUACGUAGCCGACCUGAGAGGGUGAUCGGCCACAUUGGGACUGAGACACGGCCCAAACUCCUACGGGAGGCAGCAGUAGGGAAUCUUCCGCAAUGGACGAAAGUCUGACGGAGCAACGCCGCGUGAGUGAAGAAGGUUUUCGGAUCGUAAAACUCUGUUGUCAGAGAAGAACAAGUCGGAGAGUAACUGCUCCGGCCUUGACGGUAUCUGACCAGAAAGCCACGGCUAACUACGUGCCAGCCGCCGCCGUAA